AGAGUGAACGCUGGCGGUAGGCCUAACACAUGCAAGUCGAACGGCAGCACGGUAAGAGCUUGCUCUUAUGGGUGGCGAGUGGCGGACGGGUGAGGAAUACAUGGGAAUCUGCCCAGUCGUGGGGGAUAACGUAUGGAAACGUACGCUAAUACCGCAUGCGCCCUUCGGGGGAAAGCCGGGGACCUUCGGGCCUGGCGCGAUUGGAUGAGCCCAUGUCGGAUUAGCUAGUUGCGGGUAACGGCCACCAAGGCGACGAUCCGUAGCUGGUCUGAGAGGAUGAUCAGCCACACUGGAACUGAGACACGGUCCAGACUCCUACGGGAGGCAGCAGUAGGGAAUAUUGGACAAUGGGCGCAAGCCUGAUCCAGCCAUGCCGCGUGUGUGAAGAAGGCCUUGGGUUGUAAAGCACUUUGUCGGAAAGAAAGCGCUGGUUAACACCUGGUGUCCUAGACGGUACCGGAAGAAUAAGCACCGCUAACUCGUACGCCAGCACGCCG
rnacentral:rRNA from 1 species